rnacentral:misc_RNA from 1 species
GAUGAAGAACGCAGCGAAAUGCGAUAAGUAAUGUGAAUUGCAGAAUUCAGUGAAUCAUCGAAUCUUUGAACGCACAUUGCGCCCGGCAGUAUUCUGCCGGGCAUGCCUGUUCGAGCGUCAUUUCAACCAUCAAGCCCCCGGCUUGUGUUGGGGACCUGCGGCUGCCGCAGGCCCUGAAAAGCAGUGGCGGGCUCGCUGUCACACCGAGCGUAGUAGCAUACAUCUCGCUCUGGGCGUGCUGCGGGUUCCGGCCGUUAAACCACCUUCAUAACCCAAGGUUGACCUCGGAUCAGGUAGGAAGACCCGCUGAACUUAAGCAUAUCAAUAAGCGGAGGA